rnacentral:tRNA from 1 species
GCCUUCGUGGUGUAGUGGUCUGCACGCUUGACGUAACUGAGUCGUAACCGAGAGGUCCGUGGUUCGAUUCCCGGCGAAGGCG